GGAAUCCGCUGCCUCAACUCCCGCGGUGGGACUCCGGAGCAGCGUACACCGCCCUCGCCUUAGUCCUCCGCGAAGGCCAGGGCAGCUGUGCGGCCUGCCGCGGAUUAGUUGGUGCGGUGCAAAAGCCAGAAGGAGACACAUUUGGUCCUGGCCACCCCGGAGUCACCGUGCCCGGGACAAAUGGACUAUGGCUCGACUGGGAGUCGACUUCCUUCUCUUUAAAGAUGACAGAUGAGGGAGAUCUCAGGUUCUGGGGGUGCCCUAAAGCCCUCUUUUGGCAGGAAGCGGUGGCUCAUGCCUGUAAUCCCAGCCCUUUGGGAGGCUGAGGCGGGAGGAUCGCUUGAGCCCAGGAGUUCAAGACCAGCCUGGGCAACUUAGGGAGAUACCCCCGCCCACCGUCUCGCAGGAAAAAAAAGAAAGGAAGAAAAUUAGCCAGGCACGGUGGCUCACGCCUGUAAUCCCAGUAUUUUGGGAGUCCAAGGCAGGAGGAUUGCUUGAGCCCAGCAGUUCAAGACCAGCCUGGGCAACACAGGGAGGCUACCUCUCUCUCAAUCAAUCAAUCAAUCAAUCAAUGCCAGCGUCGUGGCGGGCGCCUGUGGUCCCUGUGGUCCCAGCUACUCUGGAGGCUGAGGCGGAACGAUCGCUUGAGCCUUGGAGGCGGAGGUUGCAGUGAGCUGAGAUCGAGCCACUGCACUCCAGCCUGGGCGACAGAGCAAGACACUGUCUCAAAGAAAAAUAAAUAAAUAAAAUAAGGCCCUCUUUUUCCAGGACCAACAGACUCUGAUGGCAGGGACAAACUGACCCAGCCUAAACUGCCUCGCCUUCCCUGCUCCCGGGAAAGGGGCUUUCCCUGAGGGAAGGUAGCAUCUUGCCAUUUUCUUCCUGCACAGCUUUGCCUUCCCAGGGAUCGGCCCAUUGCCACCUGAGGAAAUGCCUUGGAGUCCAUCUAACCCACAGCCCAGGUACUUGGGACGCCUACAGAGCCUACAUUGUCAGAGGAUGCAUCUUCUUCUAGUCUUGGAGGGGUUCCUUUCAAUAAGAUCCCACCAGUGCACUCAAGGCUCAAUUCUACACCAAAAAACUAGGCCCACUCCUGUCACCGAGACCCCCAGGCUUCAGGUCCUGUCACAGUGACCUUGUUUUCGCCCCCAGCAGCCCCCAGGUAUUCACUCUGCAUAGGCUAUAUACUGGGUGCUAAACAAGAGAGGCUACCCACGUGGUGCAUGCUUCCCUUAUCUGUGAAGAGCUUAGGAUGUUGUAACUUCUUCACACUAUGCCUCUUACUUCAUGGAGAUGUCAGUAUCCGGGUAGAUAAUCCUUCCAACAUCCUUUUGAUCUCAUGAAGCCCACUCCUGUCCUCUGCCCUACCUCAGCUUCCCCCUCCCUCCAUGAUCAGACCUUAGACCUUGUCAGGUCCAAGGACUGCAAACCCCACAGUAGCCCACUCUGACCACCACCUCCUAGCUAUCCAGGUUACUCCCUAUACUGCCCUGAAACAAAAUUCUUGCAACCUUACCAGUACCUCCAAUCCAGAUCUUACUACCUUUUCACUGUUUCUUCCUUCCUUUAUGACUUUUCCCUCUCUAGUGAGCGAGCUUAAACUCCAUGGCCAACCAUUCUCAUUGGUCCCUUGCACACCUCCUCAACUCACCCACCUCCCUGUCACCUCCUAUCUGCUUAGUAAGAUGGGAGCCCUGGAUAAACUCAGCUCUCCAUCUAUUCCAUGCCACAACGAUGCAACUAAACAUGGCUGGAAGAAAACAGGACCAUGCCAGCAGUCCUCACUUUAAUCAUUCUUUUUCCGGUCUAUUCAAUCUCCCAUUGUUCCAAAUGAGUAUUUCGCACUUCUUCCUCUCUGUUCAGUCCUUCCUACUGCCUCCCCCUUCCUUGCCUCCUGAAAAAAGAAGGGAAAAAAGACCUUUUGAAAAAAGAAGGGAUAGGUGUCCACAACUCAGUGUGAAGUGUUUAAAAAAGAGCCACACAAGCACGAAGAAAGCCAGAAGUGAGUAACCUGCAGAAAAGUAGGUAAAGGUUCUGAUCUGGAUCCAGAUGAGAAAUGGAAUAGCAAGUUAAAAUCAGGAAAUAUUUUGAAGAAGAUAAAUGUUCCUGGAUAUCUUUGAAUACUUGGUAAAUUAUUAAGUUCUUAUAUAUAAUAAAGCAAGAUUGUAGGUUUGUCUUUUUA
rnacentral:lncRNA from 10 species